AUGGUAUCAGUGGUAGGGGAGCGUUCUAAGUGCAGUGAAGUCAGACCGGAAGGACUGGUGGAGCGCUUAGAAGUGAGAAUGCCGGUAUGAGUAGCGAAAGACGGGUGAGAAUCCCGUCCACCGAAUGCCUAAGGUUUCCUGAGGAAGGCUCGUCCGCUCAGGGUUAGUCAGGACCUAAGCCGAGGCCGACAGGCGUAGGCGAUGGACAACAGGUUGAUAUUCCUGUACCACCUCUUUAUCGUUUGAGCAAUGGAGGGACGCAGAAGGAUAGAAGAAGCGUGCGAUUGGUUGUGCACGUCCAAGCAGUUAGGCUGAUAAGUAGGCAAAUCCGCUUAUCGUGAAGGCUGAGCUGUGAUGGGGAAGCUCCUUAUGGAGCGAAGUCUUUGAUUCCCCGCUGCCAAGAAAAGCUUCUAGCGAGAUAAAAGGUGCCUGUACCGCAAACCGACACAGGUAGGCGAGGAGAGAAUCCUAAGGUGUGCGAGAGAACUCUGGUUAAGGAACUCGGCAAAAUGACCCCGUAACUUCGGGAGAAGGGGUGCUUUCUUAACGGAAAGCCGCAGUGAAUAGGCCCAAGCGACUGUUUAGCAAAAACACAGGUCUCUGCGAAGCCGUAAGGCGAAGUAUAGGGGCUGACACCUGCCCGGUGCUGGAAGGUUAAGGAGAGGGGUUAGCGUAAGCGAAGCUCUGAACUGAAGCCCCAGUAAACGGCGGCCGUAACUAUAACGGUCCUAAGGUAGCGAAAUUCCUUGUCGGGUAAGUUCCGACCCGCACGAAAGGUGUAACGAUUUGGGCACUGUCUCAACCAGAGACUCGGUGAAAUUAUAGUACCUGUGAAGAUGCAGGUUACCCGCGACAGGACGGAAAGACCCCGUGGAGCUUUACUGUAGCCUGAUAUUGAAUUUUGGUACAGUUUGUACAGGAUAGGCGGGAGCCAUUGAAACCGGAGCGCUAGCUUCGGUGGAGGCGCUGGUGGGAUACCGCCCUGACUGUAUUGAAAUUCUAACCUACGGGUCUUAUCGACCCGGGAGACAGUGUCAGGUGGGCAGUUUGACUGGGGCGGUCGCCUCCUAAAGUGUAACGGAGGCGCCCAAAGGUUCCCUCAGAAUGGUUGGAAAUCAUUCGUAGAGUGCAAAGGCAUAAGGGAGCUUGACUGCGAGACCUACAAGUCGAGCAGGGACGAAAGUCGGGCUUAGUGAUCCGGUGGUUCCGCAUGGAAGGGCCAUCGCUCAACGGAUAAAAGCUACCCCGGGGAUAACAGGCUUAUCUCCCCCAAGAGUCCACAUCGACGGGGAGGUUUGGCACCUCGAUGUCGGCUCAUCGCAUCCUGGGGCUGUAGUCGGUCCCAAGGGUUGGGCUGUUCGCCCAUUAAAGCGGUACGCGAGCUGGGUUCAGAACGUCGUGAGACAGUUCGGUCCCUAUCCGUCGUGGGCGUAGGAAAUUUGAGAGGAGCUGUCCUUAGUACGAGAGGACCGGGAUGGACGCACCGCUGGUGUACCAGUUGUUCUGCCAAGGGCAUAGCUGGGUAGCUAUGUGCGGAAGGGAUAAGUGCUGAAAGCAUCUAAGCAUGAAGCCCCCCUCAAGAUGAGAUUUCCCAUAGCGUAAGCUAGUAAGAUCCCUGAAAGAUGAUCAGGUUGAUAGGUUCGAGGUGGAAGCAUGGUGACAUGUGGAGCUGACGAAUACUAAUA
rnacentral:rRNA from 1 species